rnacentral:rRNA from 1 species
GACGAACGCUGGCGGCGUGCUUAACACAUGCAAGUCGAACGAAAAGGCCCUGCUUUCGUGGUGUGCUCGUGUGGAGAAGGGGUGUGAAACACGUGUGUAACCCGCCCUUGUCUGUGGUAUAACUUCAGGACACUGGGGCUAAUACCGGAGAGGAGCUCCUGCCGCAUGGUGGGGUUGGGAGAGUUUCGGCGGUUGGGGAUGGUCUCGCGGCUUAUCAGCUUGUUGGUGGGGUAGUGGCUCACCAAGGCUUUGACGGGUAGCCGGCCUGAGAGGGUGACCGGCCACAUUGGGACUGAGAUACGGCCCAGACUCCUACGGGAGGCAGCAGUGGGGAAUAUUGCACAAUGGGCGGAAGCCUGAUGCAGCGACGCCGCGUGCGGGAUGACGGCCUUCGGGUUGUAAACCGCUUUCGGUUGGGACGAAGCGAGAGUGACGGUACCUGGUGAAGAAGCACCGGCUAACUACGUG